rnacentral:misc_RNA from 1 species
UAUAGACAUAAGUAAAUUACGACAUUUGUGCUUAAUACCUUCCAUAAAAAUAUCAUUAUUACAAUGAUUCUCCAUUAUUAGAGAAACUCAUGAGCGUUGGUGUGGCGCUAACCUCAUCUUUCUCCUCUUGCAGGAAAGAAACAUUCUGUCAGCCACCGUCUCAGGAACUAUCCACAAGAAGGCUGCAAAUCCAGGCAGGCAGAGGCACCCGUCAG